rnacentral:tRNA from 2 species
AUCUCGUUGGGCUAGUGGUCAUGCCAUCUGUCUCACACACAGAAGAUCGCAGGUUCAAACCCUGCACGAGAUA